CCCACUUCCCGGUACCCCGCCAAGGGAAACGUCGGAGCCGCCCGUGUAAGUCUCCAUGUCCCAGCAGGCCCACGUUUUAAGAAGUCAGGAGAAACGGGCACCGUUUGCAACGAUACACCUGGCGCAUUACUGUUUCGGCACGUGAAGCCCCUCGGGGUACUUUGCGUUCUGUUUCACUCCCUGAGGCUUUGAUGUUGGGGUGUCUCGCGCACACAGGGCAUGUCUCCGUUCCAAUGCCCCCGUCCCGGGUGCUCCGCAAGCACCCGUGGCCAGUGGCCUUCAGACAGGGUGCGCACGGCUCCAGACACGGCCAGCAUGCCCGCCCCUCGGAGGGCCUCUCGCCUCGCACGUGUGCAGACACGUGCUUUCUGCCCAAGUCCACACCCUGUUCCACGCAAGGGGCACCCUGGCGAACUCCUGCUCGUCCUCUGGACCCACUCGCCUGUCACGGCCCCUGGGAGGCCUCCUCUGGGUUCCGCAGGUAGAGCUUCCCGCCCCCGCCUAUCCAGCCACCCCCUCCCUCACCCCCUCAGUAUUUAUCACGAGUUUCUGUAGAGCCAGGGCACCCCGUGAGGCCCUGGGGGUGCAAAUGUGAGCCAGGCACCAUCAUGUCUGCGGGAAGAAACAGACAUCCCCCCCAUUUGUCCCGCUGCACCAGACCGACGUGCUUGCUCGCCCGUUUACCAUGACCUUGACUCUGAACCCAGCAGGAAGGUAUUGACCGAGUGGAAAACUAUGUCCUAGCACCGUGGACAGUUCCUGGCCCAGUGCAUGUGGCUGAACCGACCUGUGUGCGUCCCCAGGAAAGGACUUUGCGACAAGUUGGCAUUAAGUAACACGCGGGGUCCUUGCAGCCGCUCCCAGGGUAAACUGUCACUCACUUUAUCAUCUACCAAAUGGCAAAGGGUUUCAGCUGCGAAGCAGGCCAGCCUGAGUCUGUCAAAUUCCAGAGGCUGCUCUGAAAAUAAACCGCAACUGUGGGACACAUGAGCUGUGGAGCACGAGGAAAUGAGAAAACACAUGUCCGUGAUCUGCUGUCAGGACCCCGAGAGACAGCGGCCGCACGUUUGUUUCUCUGGGUGCCCUCUGGAAUGUCCCUUCUGCAACAAACAAACUCCCACACCCUCGGCUUCUUUGAGAAGUUCCCUGAACCCCAAGUCAGCAGACCAGCUUGACCGACCGCUUCCAGACUGCGUGUCCCCCAGAGGGAAGGCGGACUUGCGCUCCCACAGCCCGGAUGCCCUGUGGUCCAAGGCGGGUCUGCAUCUCCCUCAG